rnacentral:rRNA from 1 species
UACGGAGGGUGCAAACGUUGCUCGGAAUCAUUGGGCGUAAAGCGCACGUAGGUGGCUUGUUAAGUCGGGUGUGAAAUCCCUGGGCUCAACCCAGGAAGUGCACUCGAAACUGGCGAGCUUGAGUACUGAAGAGGGUCGCGGAAUUCCCGGUGUAGAGGUGAAAUUCGUAGAUAUCGGGAGGAACACCAGUGGCGAAGACGGCGACCUGGGCAGAUACUGACACUGAGGUGCGAAAGCGUGGGGAGCAAACAGG